rnacentral:lncRNA from 1 species
CUAAAAUGAUUAUCUGUAAAGCUACAGAAGUUUAAUACUGAGGAUGUAUUACAAUUAUUUUUGAUAUCAGGAUAAAAAUACCUGUUCAUGAAUGAUGGUAUUGAUUUUCUCUUCUGACUUGUCUCCAGUUACAGGUGUAAUAGCCAAUAUUACUUAUAUUAACAACUAGCACCCAUUUUAAAAUUUCUGUAGUGCUGAUAAUUUAUAUGCAAGGAAAUUAAGACAAUGAGUUAUCAAUACUUGGGUUGAAUCAGUGUGAGAAACUAAAAUGCAAAUAGGUAAAAAAAAUAGGUUACUUCACUAAGUUUUCAUAAUGCAUUUGAAAACGUGGUUUCAUAAUGCAAUGACCUGGGGCUACCAACUGUUUGUAAUAGCACAAAUCUAAACAGUAUUAUGGGCAUAUAUUUCAAUAGCUCACAUCCUUCUUGAAAGAAAAUCAUUUUUCAUGGCCAUUAUUCACAUAAAAGUUCAAAUCUCUCCAAUCAGCUUUUAUAUAACAGUUUUAUGGAUUUAUCUUAGGAACAAAAUUAACCAAAAGACCCUGUAGUAGUUUUCCUUCCAGCAUAUCUUCUCUACCUAUUUUAUUAUUCAUUGUAAAACUACUGGGUGAAUAGUAUAUGUUUUUUCAGAUGUUUCUAAUCAGUAGAUAAAUAGGUACACAUAGUGCACAAAAAUCUAAGACAGAGAAGGUGAAUAAAAAAGUGUUAUUUAUGGGCAACCCCCUUUGGGUCCCCUCCCACUGUAUGGGAGCUGUGUUUUCACUCUAGUAAAUCUUGCAACUGCACACUCUCCUGCUCCGUGUUUGUUAUGGCUCGAGCUGAGCUUUCGCUGGCCGUCCACCACUGCUGUUUGCCACUGUUGCAGACCCGCCACUGACUUCCACCCCUCCGGAUCCAGCAGGGUGUCCACUGUGCUCCUGAUCCAGCAAGGCGCCCAUUGCUGCUCCUGAUCGGGCUAAAGGCUCGCCAUUGUUCCUGUACAGCUAAGUGCCUGGGUUCGUCCUAAUCGAGCUGAACACUAGUUGCUGGGUUCCACGGUUCUCUUCUGUGACCCACAGCUUCUAAUAGAGCUAUAACACUCACCUCAUGGCCUAAGGUUCCAUUCCUUGGAAUCCAUGAGGCCAAGAACCCCAGGUCAGAGAACAAAAGGGAUGCCACCAUCUUGGGAGCAGCCCGCCACCGUCUUGGGAACUCUAACAACAAAGACCCACUGGUAACAUUUGGUGGCCUCAUACAGGGAUUCUCUAAAGCAAAUGAAGACCAUCCCUGGGCAAAAUUGCGAAGAAGUGGAAGGAAAGAAGAGAAAGAAGAAGAAAGGAAUAUAGGUAAAAAAACUAAAAUGAGAAGUUGAGAACAGAAAUCUUGACUAGAAGGGCAACAAGGAAAAAGGGGAGGGAAUGAACAUAUAUGAAACAUUCCACAUGCCACGGUGCCACUAAUAUUAAGAAAACUGUGGCAAAUAGAGCCAGGAAGGCCACAAAAAGAAGACCCUUAUGCUUGUAUGCCUGAUAACAAAAUUAUUGCCAAAGAUUGUAAAAAAAACACAACAUUGCACAAAGGCCAUCACAAUCUUAAACAAAAAAAUACUUCUACAAGGACAUCUGCCCAGCAACUGCAUGUCUAAUCUCAGACUGGCAUCACCCUUGUUAUUGAUUUUUGUAGCCAAGGAUAAUAAUUAUUUCAACAAUUAUGUAAUUCUCCUUAAUGUUUUCCCAUAAAAACCUUUGUCUUCCUUUGCCUCCCGGAAUAUACACAUAGUUUACUAUGGCAUGCAUAUUCCCAUUGCAAUGCUUUAAUCCAAAUAAAUAUCUCCUUCUUUUAGGGAGCUUGUUUCUCUGUUGGUUAUUUAGAUUGACACUAGCAUGGUACUAUCAUAUGUCAUCCUAGUCAAUCAUUAAGAUAAGGAUGUUGAGGUUCAGAGAAGCACAAAGUAACCUGGAAAAGGUCACCUGGAUUAAAAAGAAUUUGUUGCCAUUUGAAUCCAGGUCAUACUACUGUACUAUGGGCAUUGUCAUCUCAUGACCAUUUGUUGAUCUCCAGUCUACCAAAAGCUCAACCUAAUGCAGUGCCCCAUAAAUAAUAUUUGUUUUUAAGAUAUUUAUUGAUCUGAACUGAAGUAUUCUUUAAGAGUAUGUUGAAUAGGAGUGGUGAGAGAGGGCAUCCC